rnacentral:lncRNA from 1 species
CUGCGAGAUGCUUGUUUCAAUCCAUAGAUGGAUUUCUCAAGCUUGCACACUCUAUUGGGAAACUUUGCAUCAACAAAACCCUCUGGCUGACUCAUGUAAACAUCUUCAGCCAACUUCCCAUUAAGGAAGGCAGUCUUGACAUCCAUCUGCCAGAUUUCAUAGUCAUGAAAGGCAGCUAUGGCGAGCAAUAUCCUAAUAGAUUUAAUCUUAGCUACUGGCGAAAAGGUCUCAUCAUAGUCAACCCCUGGGGUUUGAGUGAAACCUUUUGCAACCAGUCGAGCCUUGAAUGUAUGCACAUUCCCAUCCAUGUCUGUCUUCUUCUUAAAGAUCCAUUUGCACCCAACUGUCUUACGACCUGGUGCACUAUCAACCAAAUUCCAAACUUGGUUGUCAUACAUGGACUUAAUCUCGCUGUCCAUUGCCUCUUUCCACUUGGAAGCCUCUGGGCCUGCCAUUGCUUCCUUAUAAGUGACUGGUUCAUCUAAGUUUACCAAUGUUCUGUCACUUAUGAAUGUGUCACCAUCUGAAGUAAUAUGAAAACCAUACAACUCAGGUGGCACACUCACCCUAGUGGAUCUUCGAAGAGGUAAUGAUUUAUCAACUGGUUCAACAGGAACUGUUUCCUCUGGUUGAGUGCUAGUGUCAUCUAAGGUUCCUUCAUUGGUUGACUCUUGAAUCUCUUCAAGGUCAAUGGUACUCCCACUGUCCUCUUUGAAUAUGAGCUCUCUUUCCAGAAAGACUCCUCUUCGAGCUACAAACACCACGUUUUCACUAGGUCUGUAGAACAAAUAUCCAAAAGACUGCUUUGGGUAACCAAUGAAAACACAUUUCUCACUUCUAGCUGCUAGCUUGUCGUGAGUCUCUCGUCUUACGAAAGCUUCACAACCCCAGACUUUAAUAUGUGCUAACGAGGGAACUUUCCCUGUCCACAUUUCGUGAGGUGUUUUGGCAACCUUCUUUGUAGGGACAAGAUUGAGGAUGUGGGCGGCUGUCUCUAAGGCAUACCCCCAGAAGUGAAUAGGAAGCGAGGCACGACUCAUCAUAGAACGAACCAUGUCUAACAAGGUUCGAUUACGCCUCUCAGCUACACCAUUUAACUGUGGUGUCCUAGGAGGAGUCAAUUGUGAGACUAUCCCACAUUCUUUCAGAUAGUCGUUGAACUCGGUACUAAGAUACUCCCCGCCUCUAUCGGAUCUAAGUAUCUUGAUCUUUCUGCCCAAUUGAUUUUCGACUUCAUGCUUAAACUCUUUGAACUUUUCAAAGGUUUCUGACUUAUGUUUGAUCAAGUAGAUGUAACCAUAUCUGCUAUAAUCGUCAGUGAAAGUCACAUAGAAUCGAUUAGCAUCCCUUGUGGUUGAUCUGAAGGGCCCACACACAUCUGUGUGUAUGAGAUCCAACAGACCUUCACCUCUUUCACAAGACCCUGUGAAUGGUGAUUUUGUCAUCUUUCCCAAAAGACAAGAUUCACACAUAUCAUCUGAUUUUAGGUCAAAUGAUUCCAACACUCCAUCCUUUUGGAGUUGGGCUAUGCGUUUCUUGUUAAUGUGUCCAAGACGACAAUGCCACAAGCAUGCCUUGUCUACACUAUUAGACAAGUCAAUAUUAAGUACACUAUUUCCUAAGCUAUCAACACAAGUCACUGUUUCAUACACACCAUCACAAGGUAAAGCUUCAAACACAAAAACACCAUUCUUAUAAACAGAAAUUGAACCAUUCAAAUCAUUAAAAGAAUAUUUAAAACCUUGUCUGAACAAUGCAUGAAAUGAAAUAAUGUUUCUCGUCAUCUCAGACGAAUAGCAACAAUUUAUUAAAUCUAAUCUAACAUCAUUACUGAGCAAAAGUUGAUAAACUCCGAUCUUGGUAACUGGUGAAGACUUUCUGUUCCCCAUGAUCAAGUUUAUUCUCCCAUGCUCUAUCUCCUCACUUUCCCUUAGCCCCUGCAAAUCAGAACAGAUAUGAAAUCCACAUCCUGUAUCAAGGACCCAUGAACGAGAAGAUAAUGAGUUAUUAGCAGAAAUAGUGUAAAUACCUGCCGAGGAUGGCUUCACUUUGCCAUCCUUGAUAUCUUGCAGAUAUUGUGGGCAAGAUCUCUUCCAAUGCCCCUUUUGAUUGCAGUAAAAGCAAAUGGCCUCUUUUGGAUCAGAAACAUGGGGAGUGGAACCAUUGGGCUUAGCCUUCGGGCCAUUACUAGAUGACACAGCUUGAGCCUUGCUCUUCCAGUUUUGCUUGGGAGGACCUUUCCUCUUCUUCCCCUUUCCCUGUCCAAUGGCCAAGACAGGGGCACUUGCAGGUGUGGAGGGUAUACUUUUACCCUUCAUCCCUGCCUCAGCUGUCUGCAACAAGUUGUGCAAUUGGGCCAAAGUCUGCUCAGUGUUGUUCAAAUGGUAAGUUAAGAUAAACUGACCAUAACAAUCAGGCAACGAGUUCAAGACCAUGUCAAUGGCCAAUUCCUCAUCGAAGUGAAUGUUGAGCUUGACCAAACGCUCUAUGUAGCGUUGCAUUCUUUGCACAUGAGAUACAACCGAUUCCCCCUCUUUCAUCUUGCAAGCCAUGAGUGACUUGACUACCUCAAACUUUUCUUGACGAGCUCGCUUAUGGUACUUUUCCAUAAGGUCCUUGUUCAUCUCAAAAGGCCAGUAGUCCUCAUAGUACCUCUGCAAUUCUGGGGACAUGGUUGCAACCAUGAUGCAUGCCACUUUGGUAGCAUCAUCAUAGUGUUUCUUGUAGGCAGCAUACUCUUCGGGAGUGGCUUUUGACUCAUCAAGUUCUUUGAGCUCCUUUUCAAGGACAUACUCUUUGUCCUCGAAUCUAAGCGCCAUCUUGAUGUUACGCAUCCAAUCGUUAUAGUUGGAGCCAUCCAUAACGACUUUGGAGCAGAUGUUUAGUAGAGAGAAGUUGUGGCUGGAGGAUGAUGAAGCAGAAGUGUUUCCAGGAGUAGACAUCUGAAAAGAAAGAUAGUUUUAGUUAGAUUCCAAGACACCUCAAUAUAAUAACCCAAAGAUAUCAUAUCAAGGUUAGGACCCAACUAUGACGAUUUACAACUUAGAAAUGGGAUGCCGAGAUCCAAGUUCAAAUCUCAUAAAGGUAGGUGAAUGACGAUUCACCAAUUCCACCAUUAGACAAAAUAAACGAAGUGAAAUUCCUAAUUCUUUUGAGAUACAUUAAAACUAUUUAAUGGCAUGUUUUAAUCUCGGAUUAUGCUCUACUAUUUGUGACUGGGAUACCGAGGAUCACAAACUAGAUGUGAAUAACCAUGCAAAUGUGCUUGGUAACCUUAUUGUCUUUAUCAUUAACUAUUGAUGUGCCGGUAAACCACACACGCUCCAUCAAAAUGAUAAUUAUAAGAUACCCAUUACUACUCUUUAUUAGUGCCUUUUAGUGUGCCGGUUAACCACACACGCUCCACUAACGACCAAUAAAGCAUAAUGUGCAAUUUCAUGGAUUAGCAUACUUUUCACAUUUUUCCUAAAGUAACUAGAGUUGGGAUUUUGAAAAAUAGUGUUCUAGUACUUUCUUUAAUAGCAUUAUACUUUUAAUGGGAAGUAGUUGUCCUAUCAAAUCCGUUCUGCUAACGACCCUCCACUAAUCAAGGAAGCGGUGGGUGAGAGUGGACACCCAUUCAACUACCAUUUUAUAGGCAGUUUCCUUAUACCCCCCUUAUAGACUAGCUUCGUGAAUGAGGCAUACUAGCGAUUUGACUGACCAUAUUCUUAUACAUAUAUAAUAUUUAACUUUUAAUUAUAAUAUAUAUAUAAGGUGUGUUUUAAAACAUUUUAAAACUCCAAGGGUUUAUAUAAAUUUUUGAAAUUUAAACUAUUAAAUUUUAAAUUUAAAUAAACCAAUUAAUUAGAUUUAAUAUUUAUCUAUUAAUUAACUUUUAAUUAAUUUAUUAAAUCUUGUAAGGAUUAUCUAAUUAAAUUAAACAAUUAAUUUAAUCCUAAUCCAUAUCCCUUCUAGAUUUCGAAAAUAUGGGGAUAGGAUAAUUUCCUUAUUUUUCUCAAUUAUCCAAUAAGGCAACUAUUAUCCAAAACAAAGAAACCCUAAUCUUUAUAGCAUAUUUCGAAAUUUUCAAGGGAGGAGGCUAGGGUUUUCAAAACCCUAACCCUAAUUUCGAUUAGGGUUCUUUGGAGGCUAGGGUUUUCAAAAACCCUUUGAUCCACAACCCUAAAAAUCGAAAAAAUGGCCUUUAGGGUUUAAUAGCUAUAAACCCUAAUUUGCAAUUCAACAAUUAUAACAAUUCAAUUUAAAACAAACAAAGGCUCUGAUACCACUGAUGGGUUUUAGGUAAAACAAAUAAACUAGAAAACAAUUCCUAAGUUCACAUGCAACCUACUUUGGAUCUAUGUUUUAUCUAUUGAACAUACAACUUUGAAUUGCAAAACAAGAACCCUAGAGGAGAGAGGCUAUAAUCGAAAUUUACAACCUAGGGUUUAGUAAUUACAUACCUUUCAAUUGUUAUAGUAAACAAUUGAUAAUUCCCUUGAUCUUGAUCUUGAUCUUCUUGGAAGCUUAGCACCACAAGUGUAAUGCCUCUAAUGGAAUCACACCCAAACUAGCAAGAAGGAAAGUAGAGGAGAGAGGGGAGAGGGAGUAUGCAAAAUUUCGGCCCUUAGGGUUUCUUCAAAAGAAAAGAGUGACCAAAACAUGAACCAGGAGGCUCCUUAUAUAGCUGAGGGAUCUAGGGUUUAGGGGAAACCCUAGUUAUCCUUUGCUUAGGGCCUAAGCAAACCCAAGGGCCUUAUCCAAGCCCCUAUGGACGAAAUUAUUAGGGUUUCCCCUAAAGAUUUCGUCCACCCUUAUCCAAGGGGGUUCUAGAGCCUUCCACUCAACUAUUAGAUAAUUGCAAACUAGUCCCUGCACCUUAUAAUCAAUUCUUUUAACCCCAAAAUUAAUUCUAAUUAAUUUCUGGCUAACAAUUAAUUAAACAAAAUGAUUUCUUAUUAAUAUAUUAAUCUUUUAACAUAUUAAUAAAUUCAUUUAUAUUAAUUUAUUAAUCUUAUAAUAAAUUAAUAUCUCUCCUUUCAUAAUUUCCUUGUCCGGUUGCUAGGUUUGAGGGCAACCCAAAAGGACUGUGCUGCUAUCAAUUCAAGUACAUACCAAUUAUAGUUAUGGGCUUAGACACCUAAUCCAACAGUCUCCCACUUGGAUAAGUCUGUAACUAUAAUUGCUAGUAUGCCUUCUAAAUUUGACCAGCAAAUUGUAGCUUCCAAAAAGCUGCUGCCGAACUCUGACCCAGUCAGUUACGUGUCCUAAGAUAAGUGAUCAUAUAAUCCUUCGUUCUGCUAGAUAUCCCUAGACAAAAGACAUGGAAUGCAAUCAACCUCUUUGUCCAGAAUCUAUGUUUCCCGAUUCCUGAUUAGUGAUGAUGUAGGACUUCUAAUUGAACACAUCAAUUUAGUCCUGGCUGGGCCCAGCACACAAGUCAACACCAAAUCAUCGAGGGGCCCACAGAUAUCGCUUUUCCCGUUAGGGCAAAAGGAACGAAUAAACAUUGACUCAUAUGCUUGUAUCUUUUACUCAUCAAACCAUACAUGAUAAUACGUUUUAUAACACCAAGUUACUGAUGCGUUUUCGUAUCACCAAUGCAUAGCCGACUUGCAAAUCACAACUCAUAUAUCUCUGUUUCAAGAUUAUAAGAUAUUAUCGUCUCAGUAUUACUCGUGAUGAAUUCCAUGAAGUAAUACUCUGAGCGAGGGUUUAUCCAAUACUCAAAUCUCAAUUUCUGAGUACUCAUGAACGUUGCAGCAAAUACAUUGCCAUGUCUAUCCUUAGACAAUCUACAAUCCAGUUCAUGACAGUCUUGAUUCACUACUUACUUCCAAAAGUACGAGCGACUGUGGAGUUUGAAUAAUCUUAUUAUUCGGGAAGUAAAACAUGCAAAAAUGAAACACAAUAAUAAACAAUUGACAAAAGGUAGAACCCAAACUUAUAAAUAAUACUUUAUUAUUUAAUCACCAAAAGUCAAUUACAUUUACUUUGUUACAAGUUUCAGAAAACUAAUCUAACUACUAAAACUAAUAUCAUCUUUCAGUCCUAUGCUCCGAGCAUGCUGAAUAUGCUUAGCCCUACUCAGACCCUUUGUGAGGGGAUCUGCUGGGUUAUCUUCAGAUGACACCCUCUUCACUAUAAGAUGGCCUUCUUCUACUCUAUGUCUGAUGAAAUGGUACUUUCUGUCGAUAUGUCUGGUUUUACCAUGAUCUCUCGGUUCCUUUGUCAAGGCAACCGCUCCUUCAUUAUCGCAGAACAGUUCCAUAGGCUCCUGGAUGGUUGGAACAACUCCGAGAUCCCCGAUGAAGUUCCUCAACCAAGCUGCUUCUUUCGACGCUUCACUUGCUGCUAUGUACUCUGAUUCACAAGUAGAAUCAGCCACCGUAUCUUGCUUGGAACUCUUCCAAGUAACUGCUCCUCCAUUUAAUAAGAAUACCCAGCCUGACUGAGAACGGAAGUUAUCUCUAUCCGUCUGAAAGCUGGCAUCACUGUAACCAUCUACUCUCAAAGUAUCAUUGCCACCAAGUACAAGGACCCAGUCCUUCGUUCUUCGCAAAUACUUGAGUAUAUUCUUCACGGCUAUCCAAUGAGCUCUACCUGGGUUUCCCUGAUAGCGACUGACCAUGCUCAAAGCAAAUGCCACAUCAGGGCGAGUACAUGUCAUAGCGUACAUGAUCGAUCCGACAGCGGAAGCAUAAGGUACACGACUCAUGUCAUCUAUUUCCUCAUCUGUACUCGGGCAUUGAGUCUUACUCAAUUUGGUAUUGCUCUGGAUAGGUAGCUCUCCCUUCUUGGAAUUUUCCAUACUAAACCUCUUUAGUACCUUAUCCAAGUAUGUGCUCUGACUAAGUCCAAUUAGUCUCUUCUUUCUAUCUCUCAAUAUUCUAAUCCCAAGAAUAUAGGCGGCUUCUCCUAGGUCUUUCAUGGCAAAACACUUUCCAAGCCAAGACUUAACUUCAUUCAAGGUUGGAACGUCGUUACCAAUGAGUAAUAUGUCAUCGACAUAUAACACCAGAAAAGUUACUAUACUCCCACUAGCCUUGAUAUACACACAAAACUCAUCUUCACUUCUAGAGAAACCAAACUCUUUGACUUUCUCAUGGAAGCAAAGAUUCCAGCUGCGAGAUGCUUGUUUCAAUCCAUAAAUGGAUUUCUCAAGCUUGCAUACUCUAUUGGGAAACUUUGCAUCAACAAAACCCUCUGGCUGACUCAUGUAAACAUCCUCAGCCAACUUCCCGUUAAGGAAGGCAGUCUUGACAUCCAUCUGCCAGAUUUCAUAGUCAUGAAAGGCAGCUAUGGCGAGCAAUAUCCUAAUAGAUUUAAUCUUAGCCACCGGCGAAAAAGUCUCAUCAUAGUCAACCCCUGGGGUUUGAGUGAAACCUUUUGCAACCAGUCGAGCCUUGAACGUAUGCACAUUCCCAUCCAUGUCUGUCUUCUUCUUGAAGAUCCAUUUGCACCCAACUGUCUUCCGACCUGGUGCACUAUCAACCAAAUUCCAAACUUGGUUGUCAUACAUGGACUUAAUCUCGCUGUCCAUUGCCUCUUUCCACUUGGAAGCCUCUGGGCCUGCCAUUGCUUCCUUAUAAGUGACUGGUUCAUCUAAGUUUACCAGUGUUCUGUCACUUAUGAAUGUGUCACCAUCUGAAGUAAUAUGAAAACCAUACAACUCAGGUGGCACACUCACCCUAGUGGAUCUUCGAAGAGGUAAUGAUUUAUCAACCGGUUCAACAGGAACUGUUUCC